UACAGAGGUCUCAAGCGUUGUUCGGAAUCACUGGGCGUAAAGGGUGCGUAGGCGGCGGGGAAAGUCAGAUGUGAAAUCCGGAGGCUCAACCUCCGAAUUGCAUCCGAUACUCCCUCGCUAGAGAUUUGUAGAGGAGUCUGGAAUUCUCGGUGUAGCAGUGAAAUGCGUAGAUAUCGAGAAGAACGCUCGCAGCGAAGGCGAGACUCUGGGCAAAUUCUGACGCUGAUGCACGAAGGCUAGGGGGAGCAAACGGG
rnacentral:rRNA from 1 species